UUUACUACUGUCUCAAACACCAUGAACACAGUAAAAGCAGUACUCACAACAACCACCCUCAUAUUAUUUUUGGCAAAUUGUGUCAAGCUAGAUUUAAUUGUCAACUGCAAGACUGUAAGCUCAAACAGAAACAUCAAAGUUAAUAAAGAGGCACCAGACAAAUCUUGGUCAGUAACCAUAUCAAACCAAGAGACAUGUAAAUCAAAUAUACAUACAACAUCAAUGAUUGUACUUACUAGAAAAACUAAAACUAUCAAAUAUGAUAGACUAGUAUUGACAUACCUAUGUAGCAUUCUCUUAACAAACUCGUAUGCACCAGAGCCAAACCCUGGUCCACCAAAAUAUCCAUGUGGAUCCUGCAAUAAAGCCUGCACUUGGAAACAAAAAGCUGUAUGCUGUGACAGCUGUGAUCAAUGGUACCAUAUAAAUUGUCAAGGUAUCGACAACAAAAUGUAUAAAAUUCUUGACAAAAGCAACCUAUCAUGGGAAUGUAUAAACUGUGGUAUGCCAAACUUCUCAACCACUUUUUUCAAUAGCACCAUACUUGAAUUGUCAAAUACAUACUCAGAAUUAGAAACAAGCAUUGAAUCUGAGAAUGAAGAUAUUGGUUCACCAAUACAUACAUCAUCACCAAUCCAGAAAAAUCAAACACAAUCAAAAACAAAAAAGCAAGCUAAAAACAAAAAUACAAAUCACACAGCUAAAAACUCAGAACCA
rnacentral:lncRNA from 1 species